AAUGGUUGGGUUGGAAGGGUCCUUAGAGAUCACAGAACGACUGAAUGGUUGUGUUGGAAAGGUCCUUGCAGAUCAAAGAACCACAGACUCGGUGUGUUGGAAGGGUCCUGACAGAUCACAGAAGCACAGAAUGGUUGGGUUGGGUUGGAAGGGUCCUUACAGAUCACAGAACCACAGAUUGGUUGGAAGGGUCCUUACAGAUCACAGAAACACAGAACGGUUGGGUUGGAAGAGUCCUUACAGGUCACAGAACCACUGGAUGGUUGUGUUGGAAGGGUCCUUACAGAUCACUGAGGCACAGAAUGGUUGGGUUGUGUUGGAAGGGUCCUUACAGAUCACAGAGCCACAGAGCGGUUGUGUUGGAAAGGUCCUUACAGAUCACAGAAGCACAGAGCGGUUGUGUUGGAAAGGUCCUUACAGAUCACAGAGCCACAGAGCGGUUGUGUUGGAAAGGUCCUUACAGAUCACAGAGCCACAGAGCGGUUGUGUUGGAAAGGUCCUUACAGAUCACAGAAGCUCAGAGCAGUUGUGUUGGAAAGGUCCUUACAGAUCACAGAGCGGUUGUGUUGGAAAGGUCCUUACAGAUCCCCCUCUGGCUGAAGGAUUCCCCCACAUCUGACCCCACAUCUCCUCUGUGUUGGGUUCCCCCAUGUCCCAUCCCGCUGUGCCCACGCAGUCGCUCUCCUCCCAUCACCACCUCCCUCCCUGAGCCUUCCCCUCCCCACGCCGCCCCCAAACUCUCACCCUGGCCCCAUAGCAGAGCGAAACCCCACAUCCCCCACCCCCAGAGCUCCCCGAUAUGCCGCAGUGGGGGCUCUGAGGACCAUCACAGCCCCCCCCUUUGCCAUCCAUCGGGUCCUGGCAGGUAUCACCGCGAUGGCACGCGGGACGCUGAUCCCACAGCCGUACACUUCCAUUCUCACUCCUCUCGUGCAUAGGGGACGGUCGGCCGUGCCGGGAGCUCUGCGUCUCCCAUCGCCCCCAACCCCAUACGGGGACCCCAUUUAGGGCCGGGGGCGGGGUGGGGCGCCCCCUCGGGCUCAACCACUGACGGAACCUUCUCUUCUUUCUCUUUUUUCUCUCUCUCUCUCGUCCCGGGAUCCCACUCGGAAAAGGGAAGGAGAGAGGAUGGCUCGGCUGCGCGCUGCGUCUUGGGCUCGGGUUCCCUGGAUGACUUCAUCCACGUGUCCUACGAGUUCUGCUAACCGACCCGGAUACCCCAUCCCGUCCCAUCCCAUCCCCCCCUCCGACCCGGGCCCCGAGCCCGCCGGUUGCCCCUCGGCUCCGAUGCGGCCCCACGCGGGGGGCCGGGCUCCCUGGGAAGCCUCGGGGGGGAAACGUGGGGGUCUCAGCCCCACGUUGGCCGUGCUGUGGGCAGGGCUGUAGGCGCAGACUGAGCUCCCUGCGCUCGGAGCAUCGGUGGGCCAUCGGAGCGUUGGGGUGCUGCGGUUUCCGUGCCUAUUUCCUUCCCUCCCCGCACCCCACACGCUCAGGAGCCCCCCGGGGGGUGGGCACUGAGCCCCCCUGGUGGGCAGAGAGGGUUGGAGGUGAGCGUGGCUGUCCCCGUACCGCAGAGGCCUUUGGGGGAGCUUUGGGGUGCGUGCAGUGGGGAUGGGGGGCAGCGGCUCCGGGUCUCUGUGUCUGGAG
ensembl:lncRNA